GUAGAUUUACUAGGUCAUAAAAAAGUUUGGUUUGUUUGUUUGUUUGUUUGUUUGUUUCUGCGCUGGGAAUCAUCUCUAUGGUUUGACAGUGGGUCCUCUCAAAGGUGUCACUGGGCCGCUACGUGUCGUUUGGACCGAGAACUUUCGGUCUGUCUUUCCCCCUUCCCCGAACGAAACGAGGCCAUCGGCAGGGCCUGAACAGGAGUUGGAGAAGCAGCAAGGGGUCGGACCGGCCUCGCCUCCCCUUGCUGCCCCAAUAGUGAUGUUCCGGCACCAGGCAGGAAGCCGGAUCUCUGUUGGAUUAGAGAACGGAUGUUAAAAGAUAUCUCUGGAGGUGGGCAAGGUGGUCUGGGCGUGCCAAACAUGAAAGAGGAAUCCAAAACAAAGUUAAUCUGAUCAACAGGGAUCAAUAGAAAAUGUUGUCAUUAGGUCCACAAGCUGAAGGACAUCUCAGUACGUGGGACUGCACCCGUGUGAGCUGGCUACCUCUGGAAGAGACACCAGCCAAUUCUUCAGCCUCUAUCUACUUGGUGCCUUUACCUGAAAAGCUGGUAGUGGACUGGGCUGCAGAGGGCCCUUCUGUCAACUUUUGUGACUGAGGAAUGCUUAAGACGAUGUAGGAUGGGUCCACCACCCUGAGUCACAGAAUAAUGGGAUUUAUUGAAGCAGUUUAUCCUCACAUCACGUAAUACAUGUUAUGCUUGAAGAACGAGGAGGAUUCAAAACAGCAAAACAUAAAAAAGCACCUUACAUGUAACAGAAAUCUGCAGCAAGGAGAGCUACGCUUUAAAACCUAUCCUAUUUCUAUCUGGAGCAAGCAGAAAACAAGCACAUGUGGAAAGGAAUAGUUCAGUUAAUAAAACCACACAAAUUGAGAUAUUUGCAUAGUUACUGCCAUGCUCAAGUGAAAGAAGAUAAUUGUGUGUAUGAAAGGUUUUCAACAGCUGUCUUUGAAAUCAAAUAAAGAAUUAGAUAAGCAUGCUGCCUGCUUUGCAUCUGGGAUAUAUAUACCAACACUCAAUAUUCACAAAUUGCUAAGUGGUUGUUGGACACCUGAAAUUCUAUUGAUUGCUAAAGCUCAAUAAUGUCUCACAGACUUGAUCAAAAGAGCAGGCAAGCAAACAAGUAAUUAUAUAGUAUUGGGACUCUUAGCAUAUACAAAAUACACUGCAAUCAGCAAACAUUCUGACUAGAUAAAUAACCUCAGUUUGGUGUGGCAGCAGCCAUAACAGGAAACCUUUCAAAUGUUGAUUACAUAAAAUUAAGGACGAUACAGUGAAAAAGUGUAUUGUAAAUCAGACAGCAGGGAAUUUCAAGGAUCACAAAUCCUUGCCUAAUAUAAAUUACUGCAAUAAAUUCUAGCAUGGAUUGUUUCUUUUAUAACAAUGGUUACCAAGAAAAUAGGAAUUGUGAGCUAGAAUUCCAGGGCAUUUAAAUCAUGAUAGUCUCUAGAAGUUUAAUUGCUUUAUUUUGCUUCUAGCUUGCUCGAAAGUGAACACAAGUAAUAGAUAUAAAACUGUUUGAUUGUAUAAAUUAAUAUUUGUUUCCUUAGAUUCUAUGUUAAGUCAACAAAUAACUUUUUUAUUGUAGUUAUUAUGGUGACUGGAAAUAAAGAGUUAACCUCUUUCCUCUUA